AAAAGUAUGAUGAAGCUUUAACUGUUGUUGAGUUGAGAGAAACUUUAGAAACUAAAGACAACGGUGUAAUAUCGUUAUCACUAAUAGAGUUUUUAGCUUGGAAAUUUAAAAAGUCCACGAAUGAAGUAUGCCGAGCUCCUCAGGGAAACGCCCCUAAAGAAGAAUUGGAAAAAGCAGAACAGAAGUUACAGGAGGUGCAAACUGCGUUAGAGCAAGUAAUUCAGGUGGCUAGAGAGCUUGAGGAAGCAGUAAAAGACUGUAAAAGAAUUGAAGAAGAGCGAGAGAGGCAAACAAAAAUUUUGGAAUCUACAGCUAAUGAUGAAUCUAAGUCGACUGUUCAGCGAAGUAAAGCCUCUAACGAGCUGGCUCAACUGAAUUCAAAAGACUAUUUACCUCUGAAAAAGGCUAAAAUUACUCAGGAAGCUGCCUUGCGUAAAACCGUAUCAUCACAAGGCGUCUUAGAAAGAAAGUUAGAGGAUGCAAAGGAAGAGCUUGAAGCUGUCAGACAGAAGGGCGGAGUGGGCAAUGGCAGUCUGUAUUUCUUGGAGAGAAAUCUUUAUGAGGCUGACAAACGACUACCCACCAAGAAACAGAAAUAUGACCAUCAGAAACCG